rnacentral:rRNA from 1 species
AGAUUAAGUUAUUAAGGGCGCACGGUGGAUGCCUUGGCACUAGAAGCCGAAGAAGGACGUUACUAACGACGAUAUGCUUUGGGGAGCUGUAAGUAAGCGUUGAUCCAGAGAUUUCCGAAUGGGGAAACCCAACAUGAGUUAUGUCAUGUUAUCGAUAUGUGAAUACAUAGCAUAUCAGAAGGCAGACCCGGAGAACUGAAACAUCUUAGUACCCGGAGGAAGAGAAAGAAAAAUCGAUUCCCUGAGUAGCGGCGAGCGAAACGGGAAGAGCCCAAACCAANUUGGGGUUGUAGGACACUCUAUACGGAGUUACAAAAGUAUAUAUUAGACGAAUCAUCUGGAAAGUUGAAUCAAAGAAGGUAAUAAUCCUGUAGUCGAAAAUAUAUACUCUCUUGAGUGGAUCCUGAGUACGACGGAGCACGUGAAAUUCCGUCGGAAUCUGGGAGGACCAUCUCCUAAGGCUAAAUACUCUCUAGUGACCGAUAGUGAACCAGUACCGUGAGGGAAAGGUGAAAAGUACCCCGGAAGGGGAGUGAAAGAGAACUUGAAACCGUGUGCUUACAAGUAGUCAGAGCCCGUUAAUGGGUGAUGGCGUGCCUUUUGUAGAAUGAACCGGCGAGUUACGAUUUGAUGCAAGGUUAAGCAGUGAAUGUGGAGCCGUAGCGAAAGCGAGUCUGAAUAGGGCGUUGAGUAUUUGGUCGUAGACCCGAAACCAGGUGAUCUACCCUUGGUCAGGUUGAAGUUCAGGUAACACUGAAUGGAGGACCGAACCGACUUACGUUGAAAAGUGAGCGGAUGAACUGAGGGUAGCGGAGAAAUUCCAAUCGAACCUGGAGAUAGCUGGUUCUCUCCGAAAUAGCUUUAGGGCUAGCCUCAAGUGAUGAUUAUUGGAGGUAGAGCACUGUUUGGACGAGGGGCCCUUCUCGGGUUACCGAAUUCAGACAAACUCCGAAUGCCAAUCAAUUUAACUUGGGAGUCAGAACAUGGGUGAUAAGGUCCGUGUUCGAAAGGGAAACAGCCCAGACCACCAGCUAAGGUCCCAAAAUAUAUGUUAAGUGGAAAAGGAUGUGGCGUUGCCCAGACAACUAGGAUGUUGGCUUAGAAGCAGCCAUCAUUUAAAGAGUGCGUAAUAGCUCACUAGUCGAGUGACACUGCGCCGAAAAUGUACCGGGGCUAAACAUAUUACCGAAGCUGUGGAUUGUCCGUAGGACAAUGGUAGGAGAGCGUUCUAAGGGCGUUGAAGCAUGAUCGCAAGGACAUGUGGAGCGCUUAGAAGUGAGAAUGCCGGUGUGAGUAGCGAAAGACGGGUGAGAAUCCCGUCCACCGAUUGACUAAGGUUUCCAGAGGAAGGCUCGUCCGCUCUGGGUUAGUCGGGUCCUAAGCUGAGGCCGACAGGCGUAGGCGAUGGAUAACAGGUUGAUAUUCCUGUACCACCUAGUAUCGUUUUAAUCGAUGGGGGGACGCAGUAGGAUAGGCGAAGCGUGCUAUUGGAUUGCACGUCCAAGCAGUAAGACUGAGUAGGUAGUCAAGAUGAGAAUUCUAAGGUGAGCGAGCGAACUCUCGUUAAGGAACUCGGCAAAAUGACCCCGUAACUUCGGGAGAAGGGGUGCUCUUUAGGGUUAACGCCCAGAAGAGCCGCAGUGAAUAGGCCCAAGCGACUGUUUAUCAAAAACACAGGUCUCUGCUAAACCGUAAGGUGAUGUAUAGGGGCUGACGCCUGCCCGGUGCUGGAAGGUUAAGAGGAGUAGUUAGCUUCUGCGAAGCUACGAAUCGAAGCCCCAGUAAACGGCGGCCGUAACUAUAACGGUCCUAAGGUAGCGAAAUUCCUUGUCGGGUAAGUUCCGACCCGCACGAAAGGCGUAACGAUUUGGGCACUGUCUCAACGAGAGACUCGGUGAAAUCAUAGUACCUGUGAAGAUGCAGGUUACCCGCGACAGGACGGAAAGACCCCGUGGAGCUUUACUGUAGCCUGAUAUUGAAAUUCGGCACAGCUUGUACAGGAUAGGUAGGAGCCUUUGAAACGUGAGCGCUAGCUUACGUGGAGGCAUUGGUGGGAUACUACCCUAGCUGUGUUGGCUUUCUAACCCGCACCACUUAUCGUGGUGGGAGACAGUGUCAGGUGGGCAGUUUGACUGGGGCGGUCGCCUCCUAAAAGGUAACGGAGGCGCUCAAAGGUUCCCUCAGAAUGGUUGGAAAUCAUUCAUAGAGUGUAAAGGCAUAAGGGAGCUUGACUGCGAGACUUACAAGUCGAGCAGGGUCGAAAGACGGACUUAGUGAUCCGGUGGUUCCGCAUGGAAGGGCCAUCGCUCAACGGAUAAAAGCUACCCCGGGGAUAACAGGCUUAUCUCCCCCAAGAGUUCACAUCGACGGGGAGGUUUGGCACCUCGAUGUCGGCUCAUCGCAUCCUGGGGCUGUAGUCGGUCCCAAGGGUUGGGCUGUUCGCCCAUUAAAGCGGUACGCGAGCUGGGUUCAGAACGUCGUGAGACAGUUCGGUCCCUAUCCGUCGUGGGCGUAGGAAAUUUGAGAGGAGCUGUCCUUAGUACGAGAGGACCGGGAUGGACAUACCUCUGGUGUACCAGUUGUCGUGCCAACGGCAUAGCUGGGUAGCUAUGUAUGGACGGGAUAAGUGCUGAAAGCAUCUAAGCAUGAAGCCCCCCUCAAGAUGAGAUUUCCCAACUUCGGUUAUAAGAUCCCUCAAAGAUGAUGAGGUUAAUAGGUUCGAGGUGGAAGCGUGGUGACACGUGGAGCUGACGAAUACUAAUCGAUCGAAGACUUAAUCAAUUU